CUACGUGCCAGCAGCCGCGGUAAUACGGAAGGUCCGGGCGUUAUCCGGAUUUAUUGGGUUUAAAGGGAGCGUAGGCCGGAGAUUAAGUGUGUUGUGAAAUGUAGACGCUCAACGUCUGACUUGCAGCGCAUACUGGUUUCCUUGAGUACGCACAACGUUGGCGGAAUUCGUCGUGUAGCGGUGAAAUGCUUAGAUAUGACGAAGAACUCCGAUUGCGAAGGCAGCUGACGGGAGCGCAACUGACGCUGAAGCUCGAAGGUGCGGGUAUCGAACAGGAUUAGAUACCCUGGUAGUCCGCACAGUAAACGAUGGAUGCCCGCUGUUGGUACGUGGUAUCAGCGGCUAAGCGAAAGCAUUAAGCAUCCCACCUGGGGAGUACGCCGGCAACGGUGAAACUCAAAUGAAUUGACGGGGGCCCGCACAAGCGGUGGAGCAUGUGGUUUAAUUCGAUGCAACGCGAAGAACCUUACCUACUCUUGACAUCCAGA
rnacentral:rRNA from 1 species